UGAAAUUGUAACAGACACUGCAGGAGUCAUAGGCACUGGCAAGUGUGCAGCUCUUUCCAGUCACCGUGGGUCAUGCCUCCUGCUCUCUGAAAGCAUCACUUAACAAUGUGGAGUCACGUGUCUUACCGGAGGAGGAACACAAGGCUUGGAACUGAGCCCCGGAGAACAAAUUCCAUCCUUGUCACAUAAUGGAAAAGGAAACAGACCUAACAAAGACCACGUGAGGACCCAGGGAGGAGAGGGCCAUCAGCACUCCAAGGAGAGAGGCCUCUGGGAAAAUAAGACCUGCCAACCCCUUGACCCUGAACUUGCUGGUUGAAGGGCCUCCAGAACUUUGAGGAAAUAAAUGCCUGUUUUUAAAGCCA